CCUACGGGGGGCAGCAGUGAGGAAUAUUGGUCAAUGGACGAGAGUCUGAACCAGCCAAGUAGCGUGAAGGAUGACUGCCCUAUGGGUUGUAAACUUCUUUUAUAUGGGAAUAAAAUGUUCCACGUGUGGGAUUUUGUAUGUACCAUAUGAAUAAGGAUCGGCUAACUCCGUGCCAGCAGCCGCGGUAAUACGGAGGAUCCGAGCGUUAUCUGGAUUUAUUGGGUUUAAGGGGAGCGUAGGUGGAUUGUUAAGUCAGUUGUGAAAGUUUGCGGCUCAACCGUAAAAUUGCAGUUGAAACUGGCAGUCUUGAGUACAGUAGAGGUGGGCGGAAUUCGUGGUGUAGCGGUGAAAUGCUUAGAUAUCACGAAGAACUCCGAUUGCGAAGGCAGUUCACUGGACUGCAACUGACACUGAGGCUCGAAAGUGUGGGUAUCAAACAGGAUUAGAUACCCCAGUAGUC
rnacentral:rRNA from 1 species